CCAGCCGCGCUUUGCCGGGUACCAGCCGCGCUUUGCCGGGUACCAGCCGCGCUUCGCCGCAGUGACCGAGGCCCCAGGGAGGCCGCGGCGCAGGACACGGUGGUGCCUGGAGGACCGCGGCCUCCGAGCGCCGCGCCAGGCGGGGAUUGAUGGAACCCCACGCUGCUCUAGAGACUUCAGUGGAGCUGUGAUCCUUGGUGCCAUCGCUGCCAUCUCCAUUUAGAAACUUAAAACCUAUCGUGGAUCCGCGAGCCACAAGACCAGGUCUGGGUGAUGACAUUUGAAACUAAAGACAAAACCAGCUGUUUCUUGAGGAAAAGGAGCAAAACCUGGAAAGAAUCUCCCGUAUAACCCACCACCCCCAAAAGCCCAAACCAAUAAAAGGAGUCUCUCC